CAACAAUGAAGGCUUGGGAUCAUGAGCAGUGGCUGCAGAACUUUUGGAUUCGCAAGUCCACAUUUCUGCAUCUGUGUGCAAAACUCACCAAAAUAAAAGCUGCGCUGACAAUGGAGAAGCAAAUAUAAUUGCACUAUUGGCACCUGCAACACCAGAUUCUUAUUGGUCAAUCAGUGGUGAUGGAGUUCUUUAAUGUAAGUAGUCACAACAUAUUGUUAAAGAUCAUUUCAUGCUCAAUGCCCUGUUAACACUUCUGCAGUCACAGAUGAUAUCAGUCAGCUCAGCCUUGGGGAACCAGGGCACAGUAUCCAGCCUGUCUGACUCAUGAAAGGACCCAGCCCCCUCCCCUCCUUGAACCAAAACCGAUCAAAUACAAAAUUUGCAUAGGGCAGUGAAUGGUAGUGUGAGACAAGGGUGACAAGAUGAAGACAACUCCCCUAUCCUCAUCUGCAUGAAAGAUGGGACAAUGAGACAUCUCAUUAGCAUACAGAAUGGAGAAAAGAGAGCAGCACUGAACUCUGGGACCAGAAAAGCAGGGAACAACUGCAUCAUGGGGGAAUCUCUGCUCCAGAUCUUAAUGAACCUAUGCCUGCACACACCCAGCUCAGCAGUUAGACCAAUUCUAAUAAUGAAUCCUUGAUUGAUGUCCAAAAUACUGAAGCAGCCCAAUUUCAUUGCAAGCUCCCUGAAGGAAUAUCAGUGAUAGCUAGGAGUGAUCAGGUCCUAUUGUCUAGCCCAGGGGUAGGCAACCUAUGGCAUGAGUGCUGAAGGCAGCACGCAAGCUGAUUUUCAGUGGCACUCACACUGCCUGGGUCCUGGCGGCUCUGCAUUUUAAUUUAAUUUUAAAUUAAGCUUCUUAAACAUUUUUAAAACCUUAUUUACUUUACAUACAACAAUAGUUUAGUUAUAUAUUAUAGACUUAUAGAAAGAGACCUUCUAAAAACAUUAAAAUGUAUUACCGGCACACAAAACCUUAAAUUAGAGUGAAUAAAUGGAGACUUGGCUCAGCACUUCUGAAAGGUUGCCGACCCCUGGUCUAGCCUAAAGAAGACCCUUGAGUCAUCAGUUUACCCAUAAACAAAUCUAGGUUCCUCCCUUGAACCACUGUAUUUUCUCUACAAAAACCCCUACUCACAUUCCAGUAAAUGUUCUCAUGCAUGGACCAAACUCUGCCUCAGUUCUACUGGGAUUUCAUCUACUCCUCACUGAUCCAAGACCCUGAACUACCACCAUCACCUGGGAACUCUGACAAAUUCAAGUUUCCUGGAGUGAAUUCUUCAGAAUUUCAGAAAACUAUUUUAUCCCAAAAAGUUGCACCAAGCAAAAAAUUACCUGCACUACACACAGAAAGAAUGGUUGCCAUUGUGCAUACCAUGAAAGAAGCCCUGCAACUCGUUGAAAUGUAUCAUGGCAGUCCAUUGGAUGGACAUCUAGGAAUAUUCUAAAUGAGGAAUAUGCUGACAUAAAAAUGCUAUUGGCCAGAGACGACAAAAGAUAUUGCUAAUUGGUUUAACCUGUAUAUUUGUGAAAGAUGGGGAAUAAAAUGUAGCUUCACGAGACUGUACCAUCCACAAACUAAUGGCUUGGCUGAAAACACUAAUAAAUCCAUCAAAAGGUAAGCGAGCGGGUGGGAGUAUUACAGUACUAAUGGCAAGUAGAGUGUGCUAUGCCAGAAGAUGCAACUCACUAAAAAAUCUUCAAAAUCAACGUGUUACAUUGGAAGUCUUUCAUUAUGCAUUACACCUUUUUGAUUAUGUAUAAUCUAUUUCAGUCAAGACUGUACAUGUCUUUUUUUUUCUUUUAAGCAAACCAAUGAGCAUUUGUUACUGAGCAUUGCAAAAGAUGGUUGACAAUAGGGGUAACUGGAAUGAAUUACUUGAGCUCAUUUUCUUUUCUUUGCGAACUAAAGUACACGCAACAACAAAAAUUUCAUCCUUUCGACUAAUGUUUUGUGCUGACCCAGUGUUUCCAGAAGAAGUAUCAGAGAAUUACACGGUGAUGUAUGUUAUUACCAGCACCUUUCAUCUACACAUGGCAUUCAGUGUGUCUUCAUUUUACAAAUACAACCCCCUUCUCCAUUUGUUUACAAAGAUCCCAGAUAUGAAUACAUUUGGGGAAGAUUUCUGCAAAGAGUACAGCAUAAAUAUGAAAUUGAGACAUGAUGCUGACAUUGCGCUGGUGCUAAGUAACAUUUCUAAAGCACAAGAAAAACAACCAAGACAUUAUGCUAAAAGAGAGACUUCUAAAUAUGGGGAAAUAACAUUUGAUGUUGGGGACUGUAUUCCUGUUACUGAAUGCUAGAAAGAGAACAGGAAAAGGAGAAACGCUGCAACCUACCUAUUGGGGGACCAUACAAAAUUAUGACUCAGGGUAAGAGAAUGAAAUUACAAACCAUCUCAAGGAAACUGUUAGGAACCAUGUAUAGCAUCGCACACUUAAAACCAUUUAAAGAGCCACCAACAUUAGCUGCUGAAAGCACAUCAGAGAAAAACAUCGGAAUUGAAAUUGCAGUUGGUGACACUGAACCAGAAACACCCUGAGAAGACAUUAGAAAAGUGGAUGGCACUGUAUCUCACCAGUCUCAUGACAGCACAGUGAAAAAAACAGAGGUCAGAGCAACGGAAGAAGAGGGGUAUAUAGGGCAAGAUGUUUCAAGCAACGAUACAAGUGAUGCUGAUGACAAUUUUUUUGACAUGCUUAUGGGGAAGGUGGAAGACAAGCAAUAGAUUCUGAAAGUCAAAUUUGUAAUGACUGGCAAACACACAGAGACUGGAGGCCAAGUGAGAAAAAUCACAUUGUAUGGCUCAUUUCAUUGCCCGAAACGAAGAAGCUGG